UUAUGGUCAUAUCACUUUGAAAAGCAGGUUCUUAUAUGAUCACUGAAGUUAAGCAACGUCGAGAGUCGUCAGUACCUAGAUGGGUGACCGCUUGGGAAUACCAGAUACUGUAA